rnacentral:tRNA from 1 species
ACUAAGGUGUCUGAUUUAAGUAAUAAACUGUAAAUUUAUGUAAGGAUUAAAAAUUCUCUUAGUA